rnacentral:lncRNA from 1 species
CAGCCUAUGAAAAGCACUAGAUCACUCUUAUUAUACACAGUUGCAUACAUCCGUUGUAAGCAUCAAACACACCCAUGAUGAUAAAGGAAUAAACUCAAAAUCUCAUGACAAUUAAACAUUAAUUCACCUAUGAGACAUUAUUAGCAUGUUCUAAUAAUAAAUCUUCAUUCAUGGAACACAAAUUCGCAUAUGUGCGGUACCGUGGCUCCAAUGCGUGUGGUAUGCAAGUGUACUUCACUUAGCUUCCAACAAUAGUGUCUAGGACUAUGCUUUUUUUUAGAGGACUAACCACACAAUCUUCUUAACCAAUCAUAAUCCACAUUAUUAUGACAAGACCACUAAACCACCGGCGUUAUAUGUUAACCUAAAGAAACCACUCCUUUUAAUAAAUAAUUAUGAGUAAAAAGAGUUCCAACUUUAGCCUAUGAAGAAGCUACAGAUCACCUCUUGUGAAUCUGUGAUAAUAGAGAAAAGAAAAAAAAACUCAUGACAAUUUAACAGUCAUUUGACUGCAAAACACUAUUAGUACAUUCUAAUAAAUUUUUCAUUCAUGGAAUGCAAAAAUUUACAUCAGCAUUGUGUCUAAUGUGUUUUGACAUGCAAGAAUCACACACCAUGUCAGACUAGCAAUGAAUAUGGGGUCAUAUCAUGUUUAGCAGAUCAGAGGGGGU